UGGGGGAUAUUGCACAAUGGGCGAAAGCCUGAUGCAGCGACGCCGCGUGAGGGAAGACGGUUUUCGGAUUGUAAACCUCUGUCUUCGGGGACGAAAAUGACGGUACCCGAGGAGGAAGCCACGGCUAACUACGUGCCAGCAGCCGCGGUAAUACGUAGGUGGCAAGCGUUGUCCGGAAUUACUGGGUGUAAAGGGAGAGUAGGCGGGAUUGCAAGUCCGUUGUUAAAUCUAUCGGCUCAACCGGUAGCUGCGGCGGAAACUGUAGUUCUUGAGUGAAGUAGAGGCAGGCGGAAUUCCUAGUGUAGCGGUGAAAUGCGUAGAUAUUAGGAGGAACACCAGUGGCGAAGGCGGCCUGCUGGGCUUUAACUGACGCUGAGGCUCGAAAGUGUGGGGAGCAAACAGG
rnacentral:rRNA from 2 species